ACGGUGGCCGCAGAGCAAUAUUGC
rnacentral:siRNA from 1 species